rnacentral:rRNA from 1 species
GACGAACGCUGGCGGCGUGGUUAAACUAUGCGAGUCGAGCGGUCUUAUAACGGUGAAGCCGCAAGGUCGAUCUGUUAUAAGGUAGCGGCGAACGGGUGAGUAACGCGUGAGUAACCUGCCCGCAGGACUGGGAUAACUCCGAGAAAUCGGGGCUAAUACUGGAUAUGAAGCCGAGGCGCAUGCCUUGGCUUGUAAAGGAGUAAUCCGCCUGCGGAGGGGCUCGCGUCCUAUCAGCUAGUUGGUGGGGUAAUGGCCUACCAAGGCUGCGACGGGUAGCCGGCCUGAGAGGGUAACCGGCCACACUGGGACUUAGACACGGCCCAGACUCCUACGGGAGGUAGCAAGUGGGAAUUUUGCACAAUGGGCGAAAGCCUGAUGCAGCGACGCCGCGUGAGGGAUGGAGGCCUUCGGGUCGUAAACCUCUGUUGAUAGGGAAGAACCUAAUGACGGUACCUAUCGAGGAAGCCUCGGCUAACUCCGUGCCAGCAGCCGCGGCAAGACGGAGGAGGCUAGCGUUGUCCGGAUUGACUGGGCGUAAAGCGCGUGUAGGCGGGAUCUUAAGUCGACGGUGAAAUCCUCUGGCUUAACCAGGGAACUGCCGGCGAAACUGAGAUUCUUGAGGGCAGGAGAGGAGAGUGGAAUUGCUGGUGUAGCGGUGAAAUGCGUAGAGAUCAGCAAGAACACCCGUGGCGAAGGCGGCUCUCUGGACUGCUCCUGACGCUGAGACGCGAAAGCCAGGGGAGCGAACGGGAUUAGAUACCCCGGUAGUCCUGGCUGUAAACGAUGGUCACUAGGUGUUGGGGGAUCGACCCCCUCGGCGCCGAAGCUAACGCAUUAAGUGACCCGCCUGGGGAGUACGGUCGCAAGACUG